rnacentral:lncRNA from 1 species
GGGUGGAGGGGGGGGCUUUGGCCGAAAAAUCUCCGAUGCCAAAGUUAGAAUUCUGAAAAGAAUGUGUUUAGGAGUUUGUGGGUAGCAAAAUGGCCCAACAUUUUAGUGGGAUAAGUGGGGUAUUUAUAGGAGAGUGGCCGGCCCUAUUGGUGGAGAAUGACUGGUCAUAUAUGGUGUAAUUAGAUGAAUAAUUGCAAGAUAUUAUGUGAAAUAAUAUCUUGCAAUUAACAUGACAAUUAUUUCUAUAUUAAAUAGGAAGUUUUGAGAGUUACAUUUUGAAUAAAAUCAAUAAGGGAUUGAUGGAGAGUGAUGAAAGGGAUUUGAAUAAAUAUCAUAAUGAUCACCUUUGACUCUUCCUUGAUUGAGCCGUUAUUGUCCGUUGCAUGCGUGUGGGAAUUCUUGUGUGCCUUGAGAGUAAUCUCGUCUUUCUUGUCCAAAAAUUCAUGUGUCACCUCCACGUUUUUUGAGAUCAUUUUUGGCUCACAUGCUCCACCUCCUUUGUGCACAAAUUUGAAUCUCAUUCUCAUAGUAUAGAUGAAUUAGUGUAGUUAUUCUAUAUAUUUUGUCAUAAAAAUCCUAAAAGAAAUCCCAUGUUAAUUUUUAGCAUUCAGAUUAAUCAGUAAAAGACUUGAAAGAUUUCAAGUUUAUUAAUUAAUAUUUAAAAAAAGAAGUUUAUCUGCAUAGUAAUUGUCAUAAUCUACGGAGACUAGGAACUAUGCAAUACAUUUUAGUAUGACAGUCAUACCAUCAUAUAAUGUUACAAUUUAUAUUCAUUCAUAUAAUAUAAUCUAUGUAUUGUUAUAACACGUGAAUUAAUAUUAUUUUUUAAAAUAUAUAAUGGUCACCAUGCAUGACAAUACAUGAAUUAAUAACAUAGUCAUUGUUACAGUUUGCAGACAGUAUUUAUAUAUACAAAGCUGCAAAAUAUAAACGCAUGCAUGAAAAAUGUAAUCAAGAGAGAAGCAUGUGGAUGGCUCACGUAUCCCUCAUGACCUCUGUCUUGUGUGUGAACAAGAGGGUUGACGGCGAAACCUUUCAUUAUUCCUGAGGAAUUCAUAACAAGAAUGACAAUCAUGGUGGCAGAUUCAUUUGAUCGAUUUCAUCACAGAAUUCAACUUCUGAAUAUAUCAAAAGUUCUCUUAGUUAAUACUAAGAGCUAAUAUAUAUAUAUUCUAUGCGUGUUUAAGCCAAAUAAUAUUGCGCACACAAAUGUGAAAAAAUGUAUUAGAAUACCCAAUAACUAGAUCUGAUAAUUUCUUACACGACAUGCAAAUAAAACAAAAAUAACGGGUUUCGGGUCAACACGAUAACUAAUCGAGUCAUUAUCGGAUCACACGAUAAGAACCUGUUAAUAAUGGGUCCUUAACAAGUUUACACGAAAGUGACAUGCGGAUAACCUAUUUCGACACGUUAUGUAAAAAAUUAUUUUGAAUAUUUUAAUUU